rnacentral:lncRNA from 1 species
CGACGUGGUUGAUACUGAGAGCGGGGUGCACAUCAUCUUGAGGACCGGGUGACAGCGCCCGUGAAAGCUCUGUCGAUCCAUAUGAGAUUGGCUUGAAACAUUGCGCGUUCUCUUAAGCAGAGACCUUUUGUCAUUUAACUUGCAUUGUAACAGUGCUGACUGCAAAGCUACUAUGGGAUUGGUUGUAUGCCAGGAUUAGACGUCGGUGGUGCUUGUGUUGUCUCGAUAAUGUUACAGCUUUUGAGUGAAAUUCAGUUGUUAUUUAAGGUUUAAGUGUUGAACAGUCAUUUCGAGUCCAGCCACUUUCUCAUUCACAUAUCCCUCUAGCUUUGCGUUUACCUUGACCACUGCACUUGUCUGGGGAAGAUCACUAGCGAACAGAAGCAACAACUAAAACAGAGGAAAUGACAACCACAACAGUAAGUAGUAUCCUUCUAGCUUUGCAGUUCACACCAUAAGAUAGUAAUACGAAUCAACGAAAAGAAAACGAUCUCUGCCAGCCGAGACUGCUGCCAAAAGAAUCAAAAUCGCAGCAGAAUACCACCUAUUCCGUCAAAAAACAAUUCAAAUCAUGCAUGAGAAAAAGGAGGAGAACACCCACUAAUAAAGAAAACUUAUGGGCGGUAAAUCAUAGCAGCAAGAGGGUAAAAAAUGGAGGUUCAUCAAACUAUUCCGUGAUCAUGUUUUGGCAGGGCACCCAUACAUCACACGUUCAGCAUUCACCAAAUUUGAUUAGACAUAUGCGUGGAAUAUUCGGAAAACGAGUGUGUCAGCUGGUGAGUUCUGGGGACCGAAAAGAAGAGUUCCAUAUCAACAUGGCUCUGUGCAAAGAGGUUAAGGGCCAAUUCUUUUGAAUGCAACGCAAUAUAGGGCUUGUUUUUUUAGGAGAUUGUAGGGUUUGUUGGUGCUCCACAAACUGUAUCAUUGGCGAGAAACAAUUACAGAAGAAACCACCUUACUUGCUGCACAAAUAUAAAUAUGUAUUUGCAUGUUAGCUAGAAGAAAACAUAUAGUUAUCAUGUUUUCUUGCAGACUCAAGACAUAGUUCCUUUAGCAGUAUGCAUCUGUAGCAUCUAGACUAGCAUCUGUUUUGUAAAGCUUAUGAAUCAUCAAAAUAAAUAAAACCAACGAUGUGAGCAAGUAUAGCCGAGUCCAGACGGCCGUUUCCGAUUGACGUGUGAUCGAUACUGCAUGAUAGUGUAAAUGCUAUCGCGUGUAGCCCCAAGUGUAGACCCUCUGUGAUGUUGGUGCGAACAAGCCCAUAUGCCUUGUCAAUUAUCAUAAUCUUGGCGCUCAUAAGCACUAUGAAUAGGAACAACCAACAACAUACUUCUCUCUAUGAAGCCGCCACAUCACUUUUCAUGUACUUGAGUAGCAGUUCCUUGAUUGUGAGCAUAAUAACACAAACUGCUUAGUUCAACAUUGCAUUUCUAGUGAUGGGGUUACUUAAUCUUCCAGGAUAACUAUCGGGCGAUGGUUGCGGGAGAACUAUCACUUGUUUAUACUAAAUUUUUGUAUUUCUUUAUAAUUCACUUUCUCGACACACAAUAUUAACAACUAUAUUUCAUAAAUUAACCACAUAACAUUGUAGCUAAAUAUUAAAAUGCAAUAUUCUUACUAUGUAAGUAGAAUCUAAUUCUUCAACAAUAUGCUUGGAAAAUAUUUUUAAGAUGUUUUUAAUAUGCCAAGCUUGGAGGAGGUGCCGCGGUAUUUUACAUCGUUAUUAUUUUCUUUUAUCACAAUCUUUAGUAAUAUGAGUUUAUAGUUCAAAAUAUUAUAUUGCAAAGUGUUCUAUUUGCUCCUUUGGAGCAAUAUAUCAAUGUAUUCAUUGGUGCGAGACUAUAUAAUAAAGAGAUGGCGUGAGACCGCGCUUUGCUUUUCGUUAUUACAUAUGCUAAUACUACAACUCAAUCUUAUAGAAUUAUCUAGAGGGAGGUCAUGACUUUACAUUGGAGGUUUGAUAAUUAAAAAUUAUUGAAAUUUAACAAAUAAGCAUUGAUAAGUUACAUAAUUCUGAUUUUUUGUUGGCUGCAACUAUAUGUAAAACCCGGUGCACAAUUUAUGUAUGUUUAAUCCCAAUGUUCAGGCUGUCUUGUGAGCCUGCCUUCAUUUACGUUAUUUGGAUGCUAUAAUGAAGGAAUGCCAUGUUGCAUUAGACCAUUAAGGCUUGUCUUUUUCUGUGACAAACUCGUAGUCUUUCCAGUUGCCACUUGUUCAUUACCAUCUUCUCUUGUAUCCAUGGUGCUUGCAUUCUUAUAUUUUGUUUUAUGAUUCAAAAUUUCAUCCAUGAUCAGGCCUAGCUUCGGGUUUCACAAUUUAUGGCCAUAGGUCCAUUCAAGUGGGGCAAAAUGCAGAAGCCUUCCGAGAAGGCGGUGAUUGGUCUGAAAGUAGGGGAGAUGAGCGACAUGGUUGGUACUGAGAGCGGGGUGCACAUCCUCUUGAGGACUGGGUGACAACAUCCGUGGGAGCUGUGUCGAUCCAUAUGAGAUUGGUUUGAAACAUCGCGGGUUCUAUUAAGCAGAGACCUUUUGUUUUUCACUGACCUCAUGCAGGUGUCGGACCCUGGUGGGUGGGUUGGCGCUGGUGCACCCCCACCAACCAAGUGACGUCCAGUUUCUCAAAUAUGUUCUUAUUGUGUUGACAUAUUUGCACUGCAUGCGCCCAGCAUCCAGAAGGGACUAAAAUCAUGAAAAUAGCACACAUCACUACAUUGUUUUCUUGCCGGUGCAGUAUUUUUUUCUGGUUUUCUCAACCAACCACAUCUUACAAUGCUAAGAAAUGUGAAUUGCUCUAGGCUUGUUCAGGUAAACUCUAUUUUGCAUGGGAGUAUGGGAUGAACCAUCUGUACUACGUAGACAAUCCCUGCAUCCAAAUGCUAUCAUAUUUUGGGGAUGCAAAAUCAUUAAUCCAGAAUAUGUUUUCCCUUUAUUUACGUUAGUGGGGUGCUGUAAUGAAGGAAUGGCAUGUGCAUCAGACCGUCACGUCUUGUCUUUUUCUGCAACAAACUCGUGGUCUUUCCAGUUUCCACUAGUUCAUUACUCUCUUCUCUUGUAUCCAUGAUGCUUGCAUUCUUACAUUAUGUUCUUUGAUUCAAAAUUUCAUCCAUGGUCGGGCCUAACUUUGGGUUUCACGAUUUAUGGUCGUAGGUCCAUUCGAGAAGGGCAAAAUGCAGAUGAAGGAAAUAUGAACUAGAGGCAAUAAUAAAGUUGUUAUUUAUAUUUCCUUAUAUCAUGAUAAAUGUUUAUUAUUCAUGCUAGAAUUGUAUUAACCGGAAACUUAGUACAUGUGUGAAUACAUAGACAAACAGAGUGUCACUAGUAUGCCUCUACUUGACUAGCUCGUUGAAUCAAAGAUGGUUAAGUUUCCUAGCCAUAGACAUGAGUUGUCAUUUGAUUAACGGGAUCACAUCAUUAGAAAAUGGUGAUUGACUUGACCCAUUCCGUUAGCUUAGCACUUGAUCGUUUAGUAUGUUGCUAUUGCUUUCUUCAUGACUUAUACAUGUUCCUAUGACUAUGAGAUUAUGCAACUCCCAAAUACCGGAGGAACACUUUGUGUGCUACCAAACGUCACAACGUAACCGGGUGAUUGUAAAGGUGCUCUACAGGUGUCUCCGAUGGUACUUGUUGAGUUGGCAUAGAUCGAGAUUAGGAUUUGUCACUCCGAUCGUCAGAAAGGUAUCUCUGGGCCCUCUCGGUAAUGCACAUCACUAUAAGCCUUGCAAGCAAUGCAACUAAUGAGUUAGUUAUGGGAUGAUGUAUUACGGAACGAGUAAAGAGACUUGCCGGUAACGAGAUUGAACUAGGUAUUGAGAUACCGACGAUCGAAUCUCGGGCAAGUAACAUACCGAUGACAAAGGGAACAACGUAUGUUGUUAUGCGGUUGACCGAUAAAGAUCUUCGUAGAAUAUGUAGGAGCCAAUAUGAGCAUCCAGGUUCCGCUAUUGGUUAUUGACCGUAGACGUGUCUCGGUCAUGUCUACAUAAUUCUCGAACCCGUAGGGUCCGCACGCUUAACGUUCGGUGACGAUCGGUAUUAUGAGUUUACGUGUUUUGAUGUACCGAAGGUAGUUCAGAGUCCCGGAUAUGAUCACGGACAUGACGAGGAGUCUCGAAAUGGUCGAGACAUAAAGAUCGAUAUAUUGGAAGCCUAUAUUUGGACAUCAGAAUAGUUCCGGGUGAAAUCGGGAUUUUACCGGAGUACCGGGAGGUUACCGGAACCCCCCGGUAAGUGUAUGGGCCUUAUUGGGCCAUAGUGGAGAGAGAGAGGAGACCAGGGCAGGCCGCGCGCCCCCUCUCCCUCUGGUUCGAAUUGGACUAGGAGGGGGCGGCGCCCCCCUUUCCUUCCUUCCUCUCUCCCCCUUCCUUCUCUCCUAGUCCAACUAGGGAAGGGGGGGGGGGAAUCCUACUCCCGGUGGGAGUAGGACUCCUCCAGGGCGCGCCAUAGAGGGCCGGCCCUCCCCCCUCCUCCACUCAUUUAUAUACGUGGCCAGGGGGCACCCCAUAGACACAAAAGUUGAUCAUUGAUCUUUUAGCCGUGUGCGGUGCCCCCCUCCACCAUAAUCCACCUCGGUCAUAUCGUAGCGGUGCUUAGGCGAAGCCCUGCGUCGGUAGCAUCAUCAUCAUCGUCAUCACGCCGUCGUGCUGACGGAACUCUCCCUCGAAGCUCUGCUGGAUCGUGAGUUCGUGGGACGUCACCGAGCUGAACGUGUGCUGAACUCGGAGGUGCCGUGUGCUCGGUACUUGGAUCGGUCGGAUCGUGAAUACGUACGACUACAUAAACCGCGUUGUCAUAACGCUUCCGCUUACGGUCUACGAGGGUACGUGGACAACACUCUCCCCCUCGUUGCUAUACAUCACCAUGAUCUUGCGUGUGCGUAGGAUUUUUUUUAAAUUACUACAUUCCUCAACAGUGGUAUCAGAGCCAGGUUUAUGCGUAGAUGUUAUAUGCAUGAGUAGAACACAAGUGAGUUAUGGGCGAUACAAGUCAUACUGCUUACCAGCAUGUCAUACUUUGAUUCGGUGGUAUUGUUGGAUGAAGCGGUCCGGACCGACAUUACGCGUACGCUUACGCGAGACUGGUUCUACCGACGUGCUUCGCACACAGGUGGCUGGCGGGUGUCAGUUUCUCGAGUGUGGCUACGCCCGGUCCUUGUGAAGGUUAAAACGGCACAUACUUGACGAAAUAUCGUUGUGGUUUUGAUGCGUAGGUAAGAACGGUUCUUGCUCAGCCCAUAGCAGCCACGUAAAACUUGCAACAACAAAGUAGAGGACGUCUAACUUGUUUUACAGGGCAUGUUGUGAUGUGAUAUGGUCAAGACAUGAUGCUAAAUUUUAUUGUAUGAGAUGAUCAUGUUUUGUAACAGAGUUAUCGGCAACUGGCAGGAGCCAUAUGGUUGUCGCUUUAUUGUAUGAAAUGCAAUCGCUAUGUAGUUGCUUUACUUUAUCACUAAGCGGUAGCGAUAGUCGUAGAAGAAAUAGUUGGCGAGACGACAACGAUGCUACGAUGGAGAUCAAGGUGUCGCGCCGGUGACGAUGGUAAUCAUGACGGUGCUUUGGAGAUGGAGAUCAAAGGCACAAGAUGAUGAUGGUCAUAUCAUAUCACUUAUAUUGAUUGCAUGUGAUGUUUAUCCUUUAUGCAUCUUAUUUUGCUUAGAUCGACGGUAGCAUUAUAAGAUGAUCUCUCACUAAAUUUCAAGGUAUAAGUGUUCUCCCUGAGUAUGCACCGUUGCGAAAGUUCGUCGUGCCGAGACACCACGUGAUGAUCGGGUGUGAUAAACUCUACGUUCACAUACAACGGGUGCAAGCCAGUUUUGCACAUGCAGAAUACUCGGGUUAAACUUGACGAGCCUAGCAUAUGCAGAUAUGGCCUCGGAACACUCGAGACCGAAAGUUCGAGCGUGAAUCAUAUAGAAGAUAUGAUCAACAUAGUGAUGUUCACCAUUGAAAACUACUCCAUCUCACGUGAUGAUCGGACAUGGUUUAGUUGAUAUGGAUCACGUGAUCACUUAGAUGAUUAGAGGGAUGUCUAUCUAAGUGGGAGUUCUUAAGUAAUAUGAUUAAUUGAACUUUAAUUUAUCAUGAACUCAGUCCUGAUAGUAUUUGCAUAACUAUGUUGUACAUCAAUAGCUCGCGAUGUAGCUCCCCGUUUAUUUUUGAUAUGUUCCUAGAGAAAAAUAAGUUGAAAGAUGAUAGUAGCAAUGAUGCAGACUUGGUCCGUGAUCUGAGGAUUAUCCUCAUUGCUGCAUAGAAAAAUUAUGUCCUUGAUGCACCGCUAGAUGACAGAUCUAUUGCAGGAGCAGAUGCAGACGUUAUGAACGUUUGACAAAGCUCGGUAUGAUGACUACUUGAUAGUUUAGUGCACCAUGCUUUACGGCUUAGAACCGGGACUUCAAAAACGUUUUAAAAGCCACGGAACAUAUGAGAUGUUCCAAGAGUUGAAAUUGGUAUUUCAGACUCAUGCCCGUGUUAAGAGGUAUGAGACCUCUGACAAAGUACUUUGCAUACAAGAUGGAGGAGAAUAGCUCAGCUAGUGAGCAUGUGCUCAGAAUGUCUGAGUACUACAAUCACUUGAAUCAAGUGGGAGUUAAUCUUCCAGAUAAGAUAGUGAUUGACAGAGUUCUCUAGUCACUAUCACCAAGUUACUAGAAUUUCGUGAUGAACUAUAAUGUGCAAGGGAUAACGGGAAUGAUUCCCAAGAUCUUCGCACUGAAAUCGGCGAAGGUAGAAAUCAAGAAAAAACAUCAAGUGUUGAUGGUUGGCAAGACCACUAGUUUCAAGUAAAAGGGCAAGGGAAAGAAAGGGAACUUCAAGAAGAAUGGCAAGCAAGUUGCCACUCCCAUGAAGAAACCCAAAGCUGGACCCAAGCCUGAAACUGAGUGCUUCUACUGCAAAUAGAAAUGGUCACUGGAAGUGGAGCUGCCCUAGAUACUUGGCGGAUAAGAAGGAUGGCAAAGUGAACAAAGGUAUAUUGGAUAUACAUGUUAUUGAUGUGUAUUUUACUAGUGUUUAUAGCAACCCCUCGGUAUUUGAUACUAGUUCAGUUGCUAAGAGUAGUAACUCAAAACGGGAGUUGCAAAAUAAACAGAGACUAGUUAAGGGCGGGGUGAUGAUGUGUGUUGGAAGUGGUUCCAAGAUUGAUAAGAUCACCAUCACACACUCCCUUUACUUUCGGGAUUAGUGUUGAACCUAAAUAAGUGUUAUUUGGUGUUUGCGUUGAGCACGAAUAUGAUUUGAUCAUGUUUAUUGCAAUACGGUUAUUCAUGUAAGUUAGAGAAUAAUUAUUAUUCUGUUUACAUGAAUAAAACCUUCUACGGUCAUACACUCAAUAUAAGCGGUUUAUUGAAUCUCGAUCGUAGUGAUACACAUAUUCAUAAUAUUGAAGCCAAAAGAUGAAAAGUUAAUAAUGAUACUGCAACUUAUUUGUGGCACUGCCGUUUAGGUCUUAUUGGUAUAAAGCGCAUGAAGAAACUCCAUGCUGAUGGGCUUUUGGAAUCACUUGAUUAUGAAUCACUUGAUGCUUGCGAACCAUGCCUCAUGGGCAAGAUGACUAAAACUCUGUUCUCCGGAACAAUGGAGCGAGCAACUGACUUAUUGGAAAUAAUACAUACUGAUGUAUACGGUCCGAUGAGUGUUGAGGCUCGCGGCGGGUAUCGUUAUUUUUUGACCUUUACAGAUGAUUUUAGCAGAUAUGGGUAUAUCUACUUGAUGAAACAUAAGUCUGAAACAUUUGAAAAGUUCAAAGAAUUUCAGAGUGAAGUGGAAAAUCAUCGUAACAAGAAAAUAAAGUUUCUACGAUCUGAUCGCGGAGACGAAUAUUUGAGUUACGAGUUUGGUCUUCAUUUGAGACAAUGUGGAAUAGUUUCGCAACUCACGCCACCUGGAACACCACAGCGUAAUGGUGUGUCCGAACGUCGUAACCGUACUUUAUUAGAUAUGGUGCAAACUAUGAUGUCUCUUACCGAUUUACCACUAUCGUUUUGGGGUUAUGCAUUAGAGACAACUGCAUUCACGUUAAUAGGGCACCAUCUAAAUCCGUUGAGACGACACCAUAUGAACUGUGGUUUGGUAAGAAACCAAAGUUGUCGUUUCUUAAAGUUUGGGGUUGCGAUGCUUAUGUGAAAAAGUUUCAUUCUGAUAAGCUCAAACCCAAAUCAGAGAAAUGUGUCUUCAUAGGAUACCCAAAGGAGACAGUUGGGUACACCUUCUAUCACAGAUCCGAAGGCAAGACAUUUGUUGCUAAGAAUGGAUCCUUUCUAGAGAAGGAGUUUCUCUCAAAAAAAGUGAGUGGGAGGAAAGUAGAACUUGAUGAGGUAAUUAUACCUGCUCCCGAAUUGGAAAGAAGUUCAUCACAGAAAUCAGUUCUAGUGAUGCCUACACCAAUUAGUGAGGAAGUUAAUGAUGAUGAUCAUGAAACUUCAGAUCAAGUUACUACCAAACCUCGUAGGUCAGCCAGAAUAAGGUCCGCACCAGAGUGGUACGGCAAUCCGGUUCUGGAGGUCAUGUUACUUGACCAUGACGAACCUACGAACUAUGAGGAAGCGAUGAUGAGCCCAGAUUCCGCGAAAUGGCUUGAGGCCAUGAAAUCUGAGAUGGGAUCCAUGUAUGAGAAAAAAGUGUGGACUUUGGUUGACUUGCCCGAUGAUCGGCAAGCCAUAGAAAAUAAAUGGAUCUUCGAGAGGAAGACGGACGCUGAUAGUAGUGUUACUAUCUACAAAACUAGACUUGUCGAAAAAGGUUUUGACAAAGUUCAAGGUGUUGACUACGAUGAGAUUUUCUCACUCGUAGCGAUGCUUAAGUCUGUCCGAAUCAUGUUAGAAAAUUGCCACAUUUUAUGAAAUCUGGCAAAUGGAUGUCAAAACUACAUUCCUUAAUGGAUUUCUUAAAGAAGAGUUGUAUAUGAUGCAACCAGAAGGUUUUGUCAAUCCAAAAGACGCUAACAAAGUGUGUAAGCACCAGUGAUACAUUUAUGGACUGGUGCAAGCAUCUCGGAGUUGGAAUGUACGCUUUGAUAGUGUGGUCAAAGCAUAUAGUUUUAUACAUACUUGCGGUGAAGCCUGUAUUUACAAGAAAGUGAGUGGGAGCACUACAACCUUUCUGAUAAGUAUAUGUGAAUGACAUAUUGUCGAUCAGAAAUGAUCUAGAAUUUUCUGGAAAGCAUAAAGGAGUGUUUGAAAGGAGUUUUCAAAGAAAGACCUCGGUGAAGCUGCUUACAUAUUGAGCAUCAAGAUCUAUAGAGAUAGAUCAAGACGCUUGAUAAGUUUUUUCAAUGAGUACAUACCUUGACAAGUUUUUGAAGUAGUUCAAAAUGGAACAGUCAAAGAAAGAGCUCUCGCAUGUGUUCCAAGGUGUGAAGUUGAGUAAGACUCAAAGCCCGACCACGACAGAAGAUAGAGAGAGAAUGAAAGUCAUUCCCUAUGCCUCAGCCAUAGGUUCUAUAAAGUAUGUCAUGCUGUGUACCAGACCUAUUGUAUACCCUGCCCUGAUUUUGGCAAGUGAGUACAAUUUUGAUCUUGGAGUAGAUCACUGGAAUGCCGUCAAAAUUAUCCUUAGAAGACUAAGGAAAUAUUCCUCGGUUAUGGAGGUGAUAAAGAGUUCGUCGUAAAGAGUUACGUCGAUGCAAGCUUUUACACCGAUCUGGAUGAGUCUAAGUCACAAUCCGGACACAUAUUGAAAGUGGGAGCAAUUAGCUAGAGUAGAUCCGUGCAGAGCAUUGUAGACAUAGAAAUUUGAAAAAUACAUACGGAUCUGAAUUUGGCAGACCCGUUGACUAAACUUCUCUCACAAGCAAACAUGAUUAUACCUUAGUACUCUUUGGGUGUUAAUCACAUGGCGAUGUGAACUAGAUUACCGACUCUAGUAAACCCUUUGAGUGUUGGCCACAUGGUGAUGUGAACUAUGGAUAUUAAUCACAUGGUGAUGUGAACUAUUGGUGUUAAAUCACAUGGCGAUGUGAACUAGAUUAUUGACUCUAGUGCAAGUGGGAGACUGAAGGAAAUAUGCCCUAAAGGCAAUAAUAAAGUUGUUAUUUAUAUUUCCUUAUAUCAUGAUAAAUGUUUAUUAUUCAUGCUAGAAUUGUAUUAACCGGAAACUUAGUACAUGUGUGAAUACAUAGACAAACAGAGUGUCACUAGUAUGCCUCUACUUGACUAGCUCGUUGAAUCAAACAUGGUUAAGUUUCCUAGCCAUAGACAUGAGUUGUCAUUUGAUUAACGGGAUCACAUCAUUAGAGAAUGAUGUGAUUGACUUGACCCAUUCCGUUAGCUUGGCACUUGACCGUUUAGUAUGUUGCUAUUGCUUUCUUCAUGACUUAUACAUGUUCCUAUGACUAUGAGAUUAUGCAACUCCCGAAUACCGGAGGAACACUUUGUGUGCUACCAAAUGUCACAACGUAACUGGGUGAUUAUAAAGGUGCUCUACAGGUGUCUCCGAUGGUACUUGUUGAGUUGGCAUAGAUCGAGAUUAGGAUUUGUCACUCCGAUUGUCGGAGAGGUAUCUCUGGGCCCUCUCGGUAAUGCACAUCACUAUAAGCCUUGCAAGCAAUGCAACUAAUGAGUUAGUUGUGGGAUGAUGUAUUAUGGAACGAGUAAAGAGACUUGCCGGUAACGAGAUUGAACUAGGUAUUGAGAUACCGACGAUCGAAUCUCGGGCAAGUAACAUACCGAUGACAAAGGGAACAACGUAUGUUGUUAUGCGGUUUGACCGAUAAAGAUCUUCGUAGAAUAUGUAGGAGCCAAUAUGAGCAUCCAGGUUCCGCUAUUGGUUAUUGACCGGAGACGUGUCUCGGUCAUGUCUACAUAGUUCUCGAACCCGUAGGGUCCGCACGCUUAACGUUCGGUGACGAUCCGUAUUAUGAGUUUAUGUGUUUUGAUGUACCGAAGGUAGUUCGGAGUUCCGGAUAUGAUCACGGAAAUGACGAGGAGUCUCGAAAUGGUCGAGACAUAAAGAUCGAUAUACUGGAAGCCUAUAUUUGGACAUCGGAAUAGUUUCGGGUGAAAUCGGGAUUUUACCAGAGUACCGAGAGGUUAUCGGAACCCCCCGGUAAGUGUAUGGGCCUUAUUGGGCCAUAGUGGAGAGAGAGAGAGAGAGGAGACCAGGGCAGGCCGUGCGCCCCCUCUCCCUCUGGUCCGAAUUGGACUAGGAGGGGGGCGGCGCCCCCCUUUCCUUCCUCCCUCUCUCCCCCUUCCUUCUCUCCUAGUCCAACUAGGGAAGGGGGGGAUCCUACUCCCAUCGGGAGGACUCCUCCAGGGCGCGCCAUAGAGGGCCGGCCCUCCCCCCUCCUCCACUCCUUUAUAUACGUGGCCAGGGGGGCACCCCAUAGACACACAAGUUGAUCAUUGAUCUUUUAGCCGUGUGCGGUGCCCCCCUCCACCAUAAUCCACCUCGGUCAUAUCGUAGUGGUGCUUAGGCGAAGCCCUGCGUCGUUAGCAUCAUCAUCACCAUCAUCACGCUGUCGUGCUAACGGAACUCUCCCUCGAAGCUCUGCUGGAUCGUGAGUUCGUGGGACGUCACCGAGCUGAACGUGUGCUGAACUCGGAGGUGCCAUGUGUUCGGUACUUGGAUCAGUCGGAUCGUGAAGACGUACGACUACAUCAACCGCGUUGUCAUAACGCUUCCGGUUACGGUCUACGAGGGUACGUAGACAACACGCUCCCCCUUGUUGCUAUACAUCACCAUGAUCUUGCGUGUGCGCAGGAUUUUUUUUGAAAUUAGUACGUUCCCCAAUAGCAGAAGCCUUUCGAGAAGGGCAAGAUGCAGAAGCCUUUCGAGAAGGCAGUGAUUGGUCUGAAAGUGGGGGAUAUAAGCGACUUGGUUGAUACUGAGAGUGGGGUGCAUAUUAUCUUGAGGACCGGGUGACAAGGUCAGGGAAGCUCUGUCGAUCCAUAUGAGAUUGGUUUGAAACAUUGUGCGUUCUCUUAAGCAGAUACCUUUUGUUUUUAACUUGCAUUGUCACAGUGCUGACUGCAAAGCUACUAUGGGAUUGGUUGUAUGCCAGGAUUAGACGUUGGUGGAACUUGUGUUGUCUCUAUAAUGUUACAACUUUUGAGUGAAA